GGUUCGAUAGCUUAGUUGGUUAAGCAGUUGUCUAGCGUAAAAGGGUCAUGAGUUCAAAUCUCAUCUAAGCUG
rnacentral:tRNA from 1 species